UACAGAGGUCUCAAGCGUUUGUUCGGAUUCAUUGGGCGUAAAGGGUGCGUAGGCGGCGCGGUAAGUCGGGUGUGAAAUCUUGGAGCUUAACUCCGAAACUGCAUUCGAUACUGCCGUGCUUGAGGACUGGAGAGGAGACUGGAAUUUACGGUGUAGCGGUGAAAUGCGUAGAUAUCGUAAGGAAGACCAGUGGGCGAAGGCGGGUCUCUGGACAGUCCUGACGCUGAAGCAACGAAGGCCCAGGGGGAGCAAACGGG
rnacentral:rRNA from 1 species